rnacentral:rRNA from 1 species
CUGGCGGCAGGCCUAACACAUGCAAGUCGAGCGGAUGAAGGGAGCUUGCUCCUGAAUUCAGCGGCGGACGGGUGAGUAAUGCCUAGGAAUCUGCCUGGUAGUGGGGGACAACGUUUCGAAAGGAACGCUAAUACCGCAUACGUCCUACGGGAGAAAGCAGGGGACCUUCGGGCCUUGCGCUAUCAGAUGAGCCUAGGUCGGAUUAGCUAGUUGGUGAGGUAAUGGCUCACCAAGGCGACGAUCCGUAACUGGUCUGAGAGGAUGAUCAGUCACACUGGAACUGAGACACGGUCCAGACUCCUACGGGAGGCAGCAGUGGGGAAUAUUGGACAAUGGGCGAAAGCCUGAUCCAGCCAUGCCGCGUGUGUGAAGAAGGUCUUCGGAUUGUAAAGCACUUUAAGUUGGGAGGAAGGGCAUUAACCUAAUACGUUAGUGUUUUGACGUUACCGACAGAAUAAGCACCGGC